rnacentral:rRNA from 1 species
CUGGCGGCGNGCUUACCAUGCNAGUCGAACGAUGAAGCGGACUUGCUCCGCGGAUUAGUGGCGAACGGGUGAGUAACACGUGAGCAACCUGCCCCAAACUCUGGAAUAACUUCGGGAAACCGAAGCUAAUACCGGAUACGUCAACCGGCGGCAUCGCCUGGUUGUGGAAAGUUUUUCGGUUUGGGAUGGGCUCGCGGCCUAUCAGCUUGUUGGUGAGGUAACGGCUCACCAAGGCUACGACGGGUAACCGGCCUGAGAGGGCGACCGGUCACACUGGGACUGAGACACGGCCCAGACUCCUACGGGAGGCAGCAGUGGGGAAUAUUGCGCAAUGGACGAAAGUCUGACGCAGCGACGCCGCGUGAGGGACGAAGGUCUUCGGAUUGUAAACCUCUUUCAGCAGGGACGAAGCGAAAGUGACGGUACCUGCAGAAGAAGCACCGGCUAACUAUGUGCCAGCAGCCGCGGUAAUACAUAGGGUGCAAGCGUUGUCCGGAUUUAUUGGGCGUAAAGAGUUCGUAGGCGGUAUAUCACGUCGGGUGUGAAAACUCAGGGCUUAACCCUGAGCCUGCACUCGAUACGGGUUUACUUGAGGACGGCAGGGGAGACUGGAACUCCUGGUGUAGCGGUGGAAUGCGCAGAUAUCAGGAAGAACACCAAUGGCGAAGGCAGGUCUCUGGGCCGAUUCUGACGCUGAGGAACGAAAGCGUGGGGAGCAAACAGGGAUUAGAUACCCUGGUAGUCCACGCCGUAAACGGUGGGAUGCUAGGUGUGGGAAACAUUAACG